CAACAAGCUCUCUUCUUUCCAGCUCUCAGUCAGCAGUUUUCCUUUAACGUUGUAACUUUGACCUGUAAUAUGGACCUCCAGUCAAUAGAUUAAAUGGUAUUCAGGAACGAAGCCCCACAGCAGUACUCAAACACUCAUUUGUGUGCCUCAGUUGGUUCAUUCAGUGUUCAAAGCGUGGAUCUAUUGAAGCGUGACCACCGCUGCAUUACUGCAACCCCAAGGAAAGUUCAUAAAUCCUAGAACUAUUUACUGCGUUUGUGGUAGUAGUCAAAGUCUGGUAGGUGCUUGGUUCUUCAUGGCGAUUGUAUACUCGCAAGUGUAUGAGUAAAAAUAGCCCAGUGUAAGAAGAAGAAGAAGGAUUGUUAUUUAUUAUUUAUUUCAUUAAUAUUUUAUUUGUUUUUUACAAGAAACGAAAAAGCGAUAUUUUAAAUUAUUACGGUAAAAAUAAAGAUUUGAGGAAUGGUUCAUUCAGCCACUGUCAUUGACAAUGCAAUUGACUGAAACAGCUAAAGCUAGAAUAGGCAAUUUAUUUAAGAAGCCUUUUUUUCGCAUACAUAGGGAAAUUCUCUUUACUUUGCGACAGAAAUGAACACUCAAUGCUAUCGUGAAGACAGACAGUAUCUAUGGCUGUCUCUUGGCUGAAAUGAUGGCCUCCCUGUCUGUCUACCCACCCAGCCCGGCAACAGGCGAGCACUUCAACCAGGCGUUACGCAAGAGCGAGUCUUUCACAACGCUAGGCUGACCUAUCGAUACAGACACGUGUACCUGUGGGAGUGGAGAAAGAGAAAUCCAAUUGUGGCGUGUUCAAAGUUUAAGUGACCUAGAGUGAGUUUUUGAAGACUUGUUGGUGCUGCUGUGUCUUGGGCUUCCAAUUUACUGACACAUGCCAGUCCUUUUGAAAACAGUGUCUACACUGUGUGUGUUCUACACUGUGUGUGUGUGUGUGUGUGUGUGUGUGUGUGUGUGUGUGUGUGUGUGUGUGUGUGUGUGUGUGUGUGUGUGUGUGUGUGUGUGUGUGUGUGUGUGUGUGUGUGUGUGUGCAUGUGUGUGUGUGUGUGUGUGUGUGUGUGUGUGCGUGUGUGUGUGUGUUUGUAAAAAUAGAUGAAAGAAUAAUUCAGAGAAUGUGAUAGUUUGGCCCUAGACCAAAGGAGGUCACACCACAAACACCAUUCGAUCCACAGAUUAGACAAGGACACUUCUGUCCUAUGACUACCCUUUGAUACACACAAUGGGCGCUCCUAACACGUAUCCCAAAGGCCAAUGUAUUCAACCGCCACUUUUAACCCAUCAACCCGUUAUUAAGUGUUAAUGUACCGAUGAAUGCCAAUUCAGAACCUUUCAUUUUUCCAUCAUCUGCAUUGUGGGAAUGCAAAUAGUUUUGGGAUUGCUUUUGAAGAUAAAUAAACUUCAGUCAGUCUCGUUCAGCAGUUUCCACUCUGAAGUAAUUAACAACUCGUGGCUUGGUUUCAGGCUUGGCUUGGGAGCAUCCUUGCUGCUUAUGGAGGGAGCGAAAUCACACUUUGUUAUGACCUUCCUAUUUACAGUCCAUUUCCUCCAACGAUCAUUAUCGAGUCCUCAUUUGACUGCGACUACACGUUAUUAUGCAGCCCUGAGGUAAAACAGUUAUGAAUAAAAAUACGCAAAAAUAAACCAAGGGUUAUGACCCUUGCCUCCUGCACUUUACUACCUCGGGGUUGCAUGUGGCAUGAGGCCCAGGAGGUAGAACGGGUUGGCUGGUAACCAGAAGGUUGCUAGUUCAAUCCCCGGCCCCUCCAGGAUGAGUGUCGAGGUGCCCCUGAGCGAGGCACCUCACCCUGACUGGUCCCGACCAGAUGGCUUUCGCCUGCGUGGUCGACACCACCAUCGGUUUGUUAAUGUGUGUAUGAACGGGUGAAUGUGAGGAGGUAUUGUAAAGCGCUUUGAGUGGCCACUGGUUAGAAAAGCGCCGUAUAAAUGCAGUCCAUUUACCAUUCACAACAUCAACACCUCAUCCAAAUGACAGUGGGACAUGUAUACGUUUGUUAAAGACCAGGAAACUGCAUGCAGACGCAGGAAGGCAAGCUGAUGAUAAUCGGUGUAAAGUGUGAGGAGGGCUGGGGCCAUGGAACGUGUCCUCACAGGUUACACUGGCUCCAUGGUGAGCCAGUGACUCACCUUAAUGACACAAACUGACGGUUGGCCUCCACAACGUUCAUGCGUACUGAAAGGCUGGGUCUGGCACAAUGGCCUCUGUGGUUCCACAUCGAGCGGCCGCUGCCGCUACGCCCUCCCAUGUGACCACACCAGCGCGGCUCCACGUGCACGCCCCUCACCUGCCUGGGAGGGGGCUGAGCCCGGCUCAUCAAGUUAGCAGCUCUCUUUAGACACGUCUCUAUUUCAUGUUUCCUUGUCUGCUGUUAUGUAGUUAUGUAGCACAGUGGAAUCCGAUCCGUGCCUGUUUGGCAUACUCCAGUACCUGUAUUACCCUUCUCUUUAAUCGUUUCUCUCUGUACCACCUUUCUGGUGCUUUCCUUCCUUUUAUUAUGUUCAAUAAAUAUUGUGCUUGUUCUCAAUCAAAUAUUCUGCUUUCCAUGCCUCUCUCUCUCUCUCUCUCUCUCUCUCUCUCUCUCUCUCUCUCUCUCUCUCUCUCUCUCUCUCUCUCUCUCUCUCUCUCUCUCUCUCUCUCUCUCUCAAUUCUCUCGCUUUUUUCUCUCUCUCUCUGCCUCUGUCUCCAUCAAUUCAAUACAGUCAGCCAAUGGUGCUCCGUGUCUAUUUUUAGAACCAGGGAAGGAGGGCAAACCAAGAACAAACUAGGUGGGAGAGAGAGAGAGGGUGAGUGAGGGACAGAGGGAUAGAGAGCAAGAGAGGGCUGGAAAGCAGAGAGAGAGAGAGAGAGAGAGAGAGAGAGAGAGAGAGAGAGAGAGAGAGAGAGAGAGAGAGAGAGAGAGAGAGAGAGAGAGAGAGAGAGAGAGAGAGAGAGAGAGAGAGAGAGAGAGAGAGAGAGAGAGUGAGUGAGUGAGGGACAGAGGGAAAGAGAGCAAGAGAGGGAGAGAGAAGGAGAGGGAGUGAGAGAGCAAGAGAAAAAAGAUAAAUGUGCCUUCUACCGCUGGCUAGUGGAUAGAUAGCAGCCACAGUAGGAACUAGAGCAGCACGGGAGGACGGCACGCUGCAGGCUCCAGACCCUCUCUGAAGCACAACAACUGGGACAACUAUUCCCCCACACUACUCCAACCAUCGCUGACCGACUGGGCAGAGCAAACAGCGGGAAUUGGCUCGGACAAAGGGCGAGUGUGAGCAGGUGAGUGUGAAAUCCAGCCACGCAGAUAAAUAAACACACAGCAGAAAAAUAUAGAAAUCUAAAAGCCUAAAAACAGCACUUUAUGUGUAUCAUGGGUAGUGUGGCAAGUGUUAACAUGUUACAGGAUCAGUGUUAACUAUGAUCCCAGCUUUUGCUCAGAGAGUAUUUCCAGGGCUGUAUGCUAAAGGUGCGGCCGCUACACCUUGGAGGGAAACUGGGAGAGGCUGGCAUUUUGGGAAGGCAGGUACUAUUUUUGACACAGGCUGAGACGGAAAUACAUCUCAGGCUGCACUCUGGGGUUUAACGAUAUGGGGUUACAUAAGAAAAAUGGACUGGCACAUUUUGUGGCCGGGGGUAUUUCAGAUCCUACUUUAUUUCCCGUUCCUGUGCUGCGUUUGCUUGUAUUUGUGUGUUUUUACUGGGAUCAGGAACAGCAGAGGAGAGUCUAUGUCUUAGGACCGGAAAGCUUCCAAAGCACUGUGCACUUCCACUGUGGUCCCCGUGAUAAGACCAUCAUUAAAGAUACAAGCCAAAUAAAGCAUGAGGCCCCGCUCCAGACCGCUGAGCAAGAGGAGGCUCCAGCUGCCGACCAUCAGAGAGGGCAGCGAGGAGGUGCCCCCCCCCCACCCCCCCGCCUCCGUCUGCUCCCAGGACUACCUGCUCUCCAUCUGCCACCUGGCCCUCCCCACCUGCCCGGCUCCGCCCGGCGGGGGGGCCCCCGACCCUCUGGAGCUGCUCUACGGCGGGACGGCCCUCUCCUCCUGCUGGGAGGGCGGCGGCGAGGAGAGGAGGAGGAGGAGGAGUGUGGGGGGGCAGAGCGGGGAGGAAGGCCUCUCCGGUUGGCGCGGCGACAGAGACGACCGGGACGGCCGCGAGGGGAGGCGGCGCGCCCGGGCCAACAGCGUCCCCCGCCUCACCAGCCCCAACUGCCCCCCGAGGCGCAAGGGCAGCUGCCCCGAGGUGCACCCCCUGCCCGGCCCCCAGACCCCCGCGCACCCCCCGGCCGUGCCCCCAGACGGCCCCCCGGUCCCCGAGGUCAGAGACAGUCCGGAGGAGGAGACGGGGGGCCGAGGGGAGAGGGGGGGGGCCGAGGAGGAACAGGAUCCCGGGGGGCAAACCCUCCCUCCUGUCCCAGUGGCUCUCUGACUGUAGGUCAGCGUGGAGGGUCAAAGCAGGCGUGCUGCCGGCCAUCGCUGAGAUAUAGGCCGGCCCGCGGCACGCAAAGACACUCUGUACUUAGACUCCAUUCUUAUUGUUUGUUUUUAUAUGUGUCGUUUCGUUCAGAGGUUGAGAAGAGACAACAUGCAGUCUAACACUGGUCGAUACAGCUGUAUGAAUGGAUAUCGCUUGCCUUAAUACAUAAUGAUAUCUACAUGUUAAUAUAUAUUAAGGCAAGCUUAUAGCUAUAUAUUGUUACUCUUGCCUGUGAUCUGUGAUUGUUUUGCUUAUAUACUCUGACCAACUCGUGCUUGGCUUAUGCCAAAAUGAAAUCUGAAAUCUGCAAAAUCAUUUUAUACCCUGGGUGCCCUGUGGGUCAGAGAGAAAUAAUGAAGGAAUAAAUAAACGAUCGAUUUUGAUACUCUUAAACCAUCGAGGGUUGAGUGUGCGUUUGCUUGCCGGUACGGACAGCUUGACAACACCACCCCUUGCAUCUGUGCGGGUGUCCGUCGCCGUCGUUCCUAUGGUAACUGUUGAGGGCGAGCUGGGUUAGUAAAAAAAAAAAAAAGAAUAAAACCUUGAUUCCAAAUGCAGAGUUGGCAGGCUGGCGAGCGCACGCACGCCAACACCCCAGCAUCUUCUUUGUUUAGCCCUUUCUUGGAAAGCGUGAAUCACCAACAUCAGCGCACAAUAGGGGACUCGGAAACCUUACACAAGCCCAGACGGCCACCCAGCCGGUAAACCCAAGCGCUCUCCGGCUGCUGUUAGUGAUACUACCGCUAGGGGGCAGCCUUGGCUCAGAUUCUCAUUCGUAAUGUCAUGUAUCCACGUAACGGUGUGCUUUGGAAGAGAAUACUCCUGACCUCCAGUGGUCAAAAGCAGUCAGCUCAGGCAGAAAUCCCCCAAAGGCCUCAGCUUGGUUACCAAAACAACCAACGUAGGCCAGAAUAUUCAGGUAAAUUCUACUUAAUAUCCAACACACAGAACAUCAAUAACGCAGACUAAAUGUUGACAUUUUGAAAGCAAUUAAUACAAAAUAAACAACUCCUGUCCACGUCCACAGUGACCUAUUAAAACAGCAAGUGCCGGGCAGUCAAAGUCCAAUGAACCACCUGGGUAAGAGUGAAGGUUGAACUUUUAAGGGAGUCAUGCAUGCUGAUUGUUCGGACUGCACAUUUAACAAAACAUGUUUACUACACCGCCAUUUCACCAUGUUUGUGAAAUAGACAAAUCAUCAAAAGGGAGAUAAGAAUGAAUGAAGCCUCUUUGUGUGUGUUUGUUUGUGUGUGU
ensembl:lncRNA